GGUGAGUCGGGACCUAAGGCGAGGCCGAGAGGCGUAGUCGAUGGACAACGGGUUGAUAUUCCCGUACCCGCGAAAGAGCGACCCUGACGAACCUCGUUGUGCUAACCACCCGAACCGGUGGAGGUCUUCGGACCGAUACUGGGGAGCGUGGGAACCUGACGGGUAGUAGUCAAGCGAUGGGGUGACGCAGGAAGGUAGCUGAGCCCGGCCGGUGGUUGUGCCGGGGUAAGCGUGUAGGCCGGCGUGUAGGCAAAUCCGCACGCCAUGAAGGCUGAGACGUGAUGCCGAGCCGAUUCAGGUGAAGUCAGUGAUCCUAUGCUGCCGAGAAAAGCCUCUAGCGAGUUCUUAGCGGCCCGUACCCCAAACCGACACAGGUGGUCAGGUAGAGAAUACCGAGGCGAUCGGGCGAACUGUGGUUAAGGAACUCGGCAAAUUGCCCCCGUAACUUAGGGAGAAGGGGGGCCGGAGACGUGAAGCCCCACGCGGGUGGAGCGUUGUAUGGCCGCAGAGAGCAGGGGGAAGCGACUGUUUACUAAAAACACAGGUCCAUGCGAAGAAGUAAUUCGAUGUAUAUGGACUGACGCCUGCCCGGUGCUGGAACGUUAAGGGGACCUGUUAGCUCUUCGGGGCGAAGCGGAGAACUUAAGCGCCAGUAAACGGCGGUGGUAACUAUAACCAUCCUAAGGUAGCGAAAUUCCUUGUCGGGUAAGUUCCGACCUGCACGAAUGGCGUAACGACUUCCCCACUGUCUCAACCACAGGCCCGGCGAAAUUGCAUUACGAGUAAAGAUGCUCGUUACGCGCGGCAGGACGGAAAGACCCCGGGACCUUUACUAUAGCUUGACAUUGGUAUCCGAAUUAGCUUGUGUAGGAUAGGUGGGAGCCGGUGAAGCUCAUACGCCAGUAUGGGUGGAGGCAAUCUUGAAAUACCACUCUGGUUGAUUUGGGUAUCUAACUUCGGACCGUUAUCCGGUUCAGGGACAGUGUCUGGUGGGUAGUUUAACUGGGGCGGUUGCCUCCUAAAGGGUAACGGAGGCGCCCAAAGGUUCCCUCAGCCUGGUUGGCAAUCAGGUGUUGAGUGCAAGUGCACAAGGGAGCUUGACUGUGAGACUGACAGGUCGAGCAGGGACGAAAGUCGGGACUAGUGAUCCGGCACUGGCAUGUGGAAGCGGUGUCGCUCAACGGAUAAAAGGUACCCCGGGGAUAACAGGCUGAUCUUCCCCAAGAGUCCAUAUCGACGGGAUGGUUUGGCACCUCGAUGUCGGCUCGUCGCAUCCUGGGGCUGUAGCAGGUCCCAAGGGUUGGGCUGUUCGCCCAUUAAAGCGGUACGCGAGCUGGGUUUAGAACGUCGUGAGACAGUUCGGUCCCUAUCCGCCGUGCGCGUAGGAUACUUGAGAAGGGCUGUCCCUAGUACGAGAGGACCGGGACGGACGAACCUCUGGUGUGCCAGUUGUCCCGCCAGGGGCACGGCUGGUUAGCUACGUUCGGAAGGGAUAACCGCUGAAAGCAUCUAAGCGGGAAGCUCGCUUCAAGAUGAGGUAUCCCACCCACUUUUGUGGGGUAAGGCCCCCAGCUAGACGACUGGGUUGAUAGGCCGGAAAUGUAAGCCCGGUAACGGGUUCAGUUGACCGGUACUAAUAGGCCGAGGACUUGACUAC
rnacentral:rRNA from 1 species